rnacentral:lncRNA from 1 species
UAAACAUAAAACAAUGAUUUUAAUUCACAGUUGACAAGCUCACAAUCACAACCACAUAUAAAUAGCAUGACUAUGUUUGCAAAAAUGGUAGCCUGACCAUAGUAAAUAACACGUUUACAUGUGUAACCAAGGGGCAAAUAGCAACUGAAAAUUAUUUAAAAUAAAGUACAGCGCCAAGUCUUCGAACAUGAUUUUAGUAAAUAAAAAGUGCACUGUCCACACAACCGCCAACCAGUAGCUCCAGGUCUUCAUUCUCGAGUGAUGACUGAAGUAGGUUCGUCCUACACGCGUUAUAGACCAAAAGAACAUGAUUUAAUUAAUUACACAGAGAAUCUUACAAUUUAAGUGAAAAAUAUCUGAAGUGCAAACAACAAGGUUGUAAUUUUCUUUACCAUUUGUUCUUCAUCAUCCUCUAGAACACUCUGAAAUUCUGCAAAGCGAGUGGAAUUCCAAUCACCUAAUGUCUAACCAACAAUUAUUAUAUAAAUAACAAGGUAUUUGCACAAUAAAAAUAAGAGGCAAGUGCAAAUAUUGAGUACCUAAUAGAUCCGCAUGAGACUAAUCUUGCGUACACUUGAGAGCUUCUGAAAUAUUAGGAGUAAGACUUGAGAUUCAGACGCUGGAGUGACUUGAGAUUCAGACGCUCCAUCUUGAGAAGCCAGUGAACCUUUCCAUAUCACAGAUGAGCCUUGCGCUUCAUCUUGAGAAGCCA